GAUUAAGGAUCGAAUGAUAAGAAAGCCGCUUCCUGCGGCAAUGCAUUCGUGACCCAUAUCGUGUAAG
rnacentral:sRNA from 1 species